UACAGAGGUCUCAACCGUUGUUCGGAUUCAUUGGGCGUAAAGGGUGCGUAGGCGGUCGCGCAAGUCGGAUGUGAAAUCUCAGGGCUCAACCCCGAAACUGCAUUCGAUACUGCGUGGCUAGAGUGCUGGAGAGGAGACUGGAAUUUACGGUGUAGCAGUGAAAUGCGUAGAUAUCGUAAGGAAGACCAGUGGCGAAGGCGAGUCUCUGGACAGCAACUGACGCUGAGGCACGAAGGCCAGGGGAGCAAACGGG
rnacentral:rRNA from 1 species